GAUGAACGCUGGCGGCGUGCCUAAUACAUGCAAGUCGAGCGAACAGAUGCGGAGCUUGCUCCUCUGACGUUAGCGGCGGACGGGUGAGUAACACGUGGAUAACCUACCUAUAAGUCUGGGAUCACUUCGGGAAACCGGCGCUAAUACCGGAUAAUAUAUUGAACCGCAUGGUUCAAUAGUGAAAGACGGUUUUGCUGUCACUUAUAAAUGGAUCCGAGCCGCAGUAGCUAGUUGGUACGGUAACGGCUUACCAAGGCAACGAUGCGUAGCCGACCUGAGAGAGGGGUCGGCCGCACUGGAAGGUGGACACGGACCAUGCUCCUACGGGACGCAGCAGUAGGGAAUGUGCCGCAAUAGGGGAGAGCCUGACGGAGCAGCGCCGCGUGAGUGAUAGAGGUCUUGCGAUCGUAAAGCUCUGUUAUUAGGGAAAAACAAAUGUGUAAUGAACUAUGGACGGCUUGACGGUAACUAGUCAAAAAGCCACGGCUAACUACGUG
rnacentral:rRNA from 1 species